rnacentral:rRNA from 1 species
AAGCGUGGGUAGCGAACAGGAUUAGAUACCCUGGUAGUCCACGCCGUAAACGAUGACAACUAGCUGUUGGGAGACUAUGUCUUUCAGUGGCGCAGCUAACGCUUUAAGUUGUCCGCCUGGGGAGUACGGCCGCAAGGCUAAAACUCAAAUGAAUUGACGGGGACCCGCACAAGCGGUGGAGCAUGUGGUUUAAUUCGAUGCAACGCGAAAAACCUUACCUACUCUUGACAUACUUGGAGGCUCUUGUAAUGAGAGUGUGCCUUUUGGAACCAAGAUACAGGUGCUGCAUGGCUGUCGUCAGCUCGUGUCGUGAGAUGUUCCGUUAAGUCGGAUAACGAGCGCAACCCUUACCCUUAUUUGCCAGCGAUUCGGUCGGGAACUAUAAGGGGACUGCCGGUGAUAAACCGGAGGAAGGUGAGGACGACGUCAAGUCAUCAUGGCCCUUACGAGUAGGGCUACACACGUGCUACAAUGGGGAAUACAGACGGACGCUAAGCCGCGAGGUGGUGCUAAUCCUAGAAAGUUUCUCGUAGUCCGGAUUGGAGUCUGCAACUCGACUCCAUGAAGUCGGAAUCGCUAGUAAUCGUAGGUCAGCAUACUACGGUGAAUACGUUCCCGGGCCUUGUACACACCGCCCGUCACACCAUGGGAGU